GACGAACGCUGGCGGCGUGCUUAACACAUGCAAGUCGAACGGAAAGGCCCUGCUUUUGUUGGGUGCUCGAGUGGCGAAGGGGUGUGUAACACGCGAGUAACCUGCCCCUGACUGUGGGAUAACUUCUGGAAACUGGGGCUCAUAUCGGAUAGGAGCUCUUGCUGCGUGUUGGGGGUUGGAAAGUUUCGGCUGUGCGGGAUGGACUGGCGGGUUAUCAGCUUGUUGGUGGGGUAGUGGCUUAACAAGGCUUUGAAGGGUAGGCGGCCUGGGAGGGUGACCGGCCACAUUGGGCCUGAGGUACGGCCCAGACGCCUACGGGAGGCAGCAGUGGGGAAUAUUGCACAAUGGGCGGAAGCCUGAUGCAGCAACGCCGCGUGCGGGAUGACGGCCUUCGGGUUGUAAACCGCUUUCGCCUGUGACGAAGCGUGAGUGACGGUAAUGGGUAAAGAAGCACCGGCUAACUACGUG
rnacentral:rRNA from 1 species